rnacentral:rRNA from 1 species
GACGAACGCUGGCGGCGUGCUUAACACAUGCAAGUCGAACGGAAAGGCCCUGCUUGCAGGGUACUCGAGUGGCGAACGGGUGAGUAACACGUGGGUGAUCUGCCCUGCACUUCGUGAUAAGCCUUGGAAACUGGGUCUAAUACCGGAUAGGGGCCCUUUUUAUUGUGAUGGUUGGAAAGUUUUUUCGGUGUAGGAUGAGCUCGCGGCCUAUCAGCUUGGUGGUGGGGUAAUGGCCUACCAAGGCGGCGACGGGUAGCCGGCCUGAGAGGGUGGACGGCCAAAUUGGGACUGAGAUACGGCCCAGACUCCUACGGGGGGCAGCGGGGGGGAAUAUUGCACAAUGGGCGCAAGCCUGAUGCAGCGACGCCGCGGGGGGGAUGACGGCCUUCGGGUUGGAAACUCCUUUCGCUAGGGACGAAGCUUUUUGUGACGGUACCUAGAUAAGAAGCACCGGCUAACUACGUG